rnacentral:rRNA from 1 species
UACGUAGGGGGCAAGCGUUGUCCGGAUUUAUUGGGCGUAAAGAGCGUGUAGGCGGUUUGGUAGGUCCGCUGUGAAAACUCGAGGCUCAACCUCGAGACGCCGGUGGAAACCAUCAGGCUAGAGUCCGGAAGAGGCGAGUGGAAUUCCUGGUGUAGCGGUGAAAUGCGCAGAUAUCAGGAGGAACACCGAUGGCGAAGGCAGCUCGCUGGGACGGUACUGAUGCUGAGACGCGAAAGCGUGGGGAGCAAACAGG